GAAAGGCGCUUUCGGGUGUCGCUGAUGGAUUGACCCGCGGUGCAUUAGCUAGUUGGUGAGGUAACGGCUCACCAAGGCGACGAUGCAUAGCCGACCUGAGAGGGUGAUCGGCCACAUUGGGACUGAGACACGGCCCAAACUCCUACGGGAGGCAGCAGUAGGGAAUCUUCGGCAAUGGACGAAAGUCUGACCGAGCAACGCCGCGUGAGUGAAGAAGGUUUUCGGAUCGUAAAACUCUGUUGUUAGAGAAGAACAAGGAUGAGAGUAACUGUUCAUCCCUUGACGGUAUCUAACCAGAAAGCCACGGCUAACUACGUGCCAGCAGCCGCGGUAAUACGUAGGUGGCAAGCGUUGUCCGGAUUUAUUGGGCGUAAAGCGAGCGCAGGCGGUUUCUUAAGUCUGAUGUGAAAGCCCCCGGCUCAACCGGGGAGGGUCAUUGGAAACUGGGAGACUUGAGUGCAGAAGAGGAGAGUGGAAUUCCAUGUGUAGCGGUGAAAUGCGUAGAUAUAUGGAGGAACACCAGUGGCGAAGGCGGCUCUCUGGUCUGUAACUGACGCUGAGGCUCGAAAGCGUGGGGAGCAAACAGGAUUAGAUACCCUGGUAGUCCACGCC
rnacentral:rRNA from 1 species